UACGGAGGGUGCGAGCGUUGCUCGGAAUCACUGGGCGUAAAGCGUACGCAGGCUGUUUCGUAAGUCGGGUGUGAAAGCCCGGGGCUCAACCCCGGAAUUGCGCCCGAGACUGCGGAGCUUGAAUGCGGGAGAGGGAAGCGGAAUUCCUGGUGUAGAGGUGAAAUUCGUAGAUAUCAGGAGGAACACCAGUGGCGAAGGCGGCUUUCUGGACGGUAACUGACGCUGAGACGCGAAAGCGUGGGGAGCAAACAGG
rnacentral:rRNA from 1 species